rnacentral:lncRNA from 1 species
GCAGACACAGAGCUCGAGGCUGGUAGAUAAGCGUUGGUCCUUGUUAGGCGCUGUUCAUCUCUUUUUUCUGUCCCUUCUAUUCUUAUUCCUAUUCUUUUCUUUCUCUCUCAUUCGUAUCCUUUGGCAUCACUCCUUCCUAUAAUCUCCUGUCCUUACCUACUAUCUCCCCCUCCUCCAUGUCUUCAUUCUUGUAACCCCUCUUUUCAUUCUCCCACCAUUCCUGCACCCUUACCUAACCUAGCAUUCUUUUUCCUAUCUUCGUCGUUUCUCUUCCCUUUUCACUCUCAUUUUCCCCAGUCUCUCCCCCCUACCUCCAAUCCAUUCUGGUCUGGGACUGGCUUGAAAACAGCCUGGAGGAAGCAGCUACCAUCGUCGUGAGCUCAUGACUACGGCUACCACACCAUCGACCUCAACAACAACUAGCCAGGAGAGGACAGCGACUACACCGACCAACACAGACUCGGUUAACUGCGCUCAGUGACCACGCCGGAAGAAGCAACAGCGGCUGCCAAACAGUUGUAUUAACAAGUUUCCUGUUCGUCACACCGACCAAAGUGUUCUUGACUAAGGGCACUGGAUAAGACAAGAGUGGGGGGCUCUACUGAUGGCGCCACCUAAUGCUGCACGUGACUACGACUGUCAACUGACACCAACAACAGGUGGCUAGGAGAGGACAGCGACUUUGUCCACCAAGACAUCAACGAUCACCUGACACGGAUUAUGGCGGCCAGUGACCACGCCGAGUAAAGCAACAGAGGCUACCAGGAUUACUUACAGGUUUCCCUGUCGUUACUCCACCAACUAUUUCUCGACUAAUGAGACUGGAUUAACAGACUGGCAUGACCACCACUGCCAUCAACGUGGUCAGCUGAUGUUGCUCGGUGACUACGACGAUCACACCAUCGACCUCAACAACAGCUGGCUU